rnacentral:lncRNA from 1 species
UUAAUCAGAAUGCCCUUUUUGUUUGAUGAAAGUAAACAAAACACCUUCUGGUUGCUUCUUUAGAGUAUGAUUUAAAACAAAGAGCCCUUUUAGUUUGUUGAGUGUAAAUAAAGUACCCUCCGUGAGCUCAAUUGCUAAAUAAGAUGAAUACAAAGUGAGGUUGCUUGGAUCGCUCUUAGAUGUGAUUAAAUCUUAAUCAAGUGCCCUUUUAGUGGAUAAAAUCUAAAUCAAGUACGCUCUAGAGGGUCUUCCAGUGAAUAAAAAAGUAAACAAAGUGCCCUCUGGUCGUUCUCAUAGUGGAUGUAAUGAAAAUUAAACACCCUCUUGUUGUUUUCUUCUUAGAUUUGUUUCAAACCAAGAAUCUUUCUAGUGUCCAAAUAACUUGGAACAGACAAGUUCAGUUUUAUUGAAAGAAAGUUUUUAUUCUAGUCUUUUCUCUGACUGUCUCCCACUUUAUCUUAAAACAAUAGUUUCAGUUAAUUUAUUCGACCAUUGAAGGAUAGCGUCCACCAGCUGAUAAUCACACAGACAUGAGAAGCAUCAGAACAUGAGAGGUGAUAAAUGAAGGUCGAGUUUUAUACCAGCACAUGUGUGCGGGACUGCGAGAGAGAGAUAUCAGACCGGAGUCGAUGAAUGGAGACAAGUUUGCACUUAAAGGGAAACGAUAAGAUGGUUGUACCUUAUCUGAGUCAGCACAAACCACCUCUGACAGCACUGAUAGUUUCCAACCUAUGUGUGUGUGAGUGUGUGUGCAAGUUAAGAUAGUAUCCCUGCUUUUACAGACGAGACCUAUUUCUCCAGAGUGAGUUUCAGGCGUGUGGCACAGACUCGUAGAACGUCAUCUCUCUCUCUCCUUCACUCUGUUUUUUUCUUGGUACCACUCACAAACACACUCCUGCAGCUUCACUCUAAAUCAGGUCAGCCUCACUUCUUCCAAACUGAGCCAGCGAAAUCUGAAAACAAACGUAAAGAAACACAAGGCUGGGGCAUCAUUAGGCUCCUGAGAAAACAGUUUGAUUUUUGCGCCAAACAAACACGGUCCACUGACUUCAAAUUGUGUAAUUUCCAAAAUUAGGUAACUGGAGGAAUUAUUUCAGAUUUUAAGACAUAUCUAGAGUUCCCCAGCUCUGUUUAUAUGACUAUUUCAAAUGUUAAUCUCAUUUUAAGGUAUUCCACAAUUUUCUUGACGUUUCCUUGAACAUCUUGUAUAAAAGACUCACAGACAAAAUUUUUAUUCUUUUGCAGAAUUUUUUUCUCACAACCUUAUUUGACCAGUUUCGACCAUCUCUCAUAAAAAGGCCUUUCAAUGCUUGGAGUGUGAACUCGAUCAAACUCGCAUGUGUUCGAUUCACUACUUUGGCGUCUUUUUAAGGAUUCUGCCCUGUUUCAUUGAAAAUUAAUAUUUUUCUUGGCGCCUCUGUAGUGGCGCCCCUGCUGUGCGCACACAGAGGCCUCAUACAAAUGAAUGAGGAAACGGUGUGUUAUCAUGCAGCGCUACUGUCAAGCUUUCUGAGCAAGGACGGGGGGGAAACACAAACAAGGAGACACAUUUCGAGAUUUAACCUGCAAAGAAAUGACAGUUUGAAAAAGUGCUUCACUGCAUAUAUGUAAACUUUAUGUUCUGGAGCAAGGACGCAUACUAAUGCAUGAAAACAAAUCUACAUCGCCAGAGAUUCAAUAUCCUGUAUUCGCCCCCUUCAGUUAGACUUUAAUCCAUCUUCUUCUGACAUACAUGAAUUCAUGCAAACACUGUUUUUCACUUUCCUGUCUUCACCUGCACCGUCUCUGAGCUCCAUGAAUCUGAGCCGUCUCACUUACAGAGGAAAGAACAUCAAACUUUCUGAUCACUGCGCCUGAGUCAUCCAGGAGAGGGGGGAUGGGAGGCCCAGAGUACCUGUCAGCGCUACGGGGAAAGAGAUCAGGAUCAGGAGAAUCAGGCUCACUGGUUCAGGUGGAAUAAGACGAAAGGAGGGACGACUCCCAAGAAUAAGAUAAAGUAAUGGAGAACAAGUGGGCAUCAGAGAGGAGGAGACCCUUGAUACCCAUUUCAACCAUAAGUUAAAGGAACUUUUGAGUUCCAGGAACUUCUGUUGAAGAAACUAAAUGGUUCCCAUGGCUCGUUGUCAUCUGCUGUUCCACUGUGGCCUGAAAACUAGUUUUUUUUUUUGUGUAAAAUGUGAAGUCGUCUUUGGACGGGGGCGACACUGUUGUGGCAGGGAUUCUUGACCUUAAAGGGAUAUUCCGGCGCAAAAUUAAUUUAGGGUCAAACACACUGUAACACCGAGUUAGACACCCCCUUGAGAGAUGAAUCUUGCCGACCACUUGCUUCGCUAGUUAUACCAACUUUAGUAACAACCAAACGAUAGCAAUGCGAACUCUAUAGCCACAAAUAAUGCUCAUGAAUGAUGAAUAUGGUGAUUAUUACUUCAAGGAAAUGAUAAAGUAAUGAUCAAUGAUAAAUGUUCUUCCUUGAGCUGCGUCACCCCGCUGCAGUCCGUAGUGGACUGGCCUGAGGUCUCGCAACAAACAAGCAGCUGCUGGAAGAGAGUGUUUGUUUAUGGCUCCUCAGACCGCUGUGUAUUGCUAUCCUGUAGUUGUUACUAAAGUUGGUAUAUCUAGAGAAGCAAGCAGUCGGCAACAUUCUCCUCUUGAGGGGGUGUCUAACUCGGUGUGUUUGACCCAUGACAGAUUUUAAUGAAAGUUGUCCAACUUUAGUUCCCUAAAGCAAGCUUGGAGUUGAUUUACUCCUUACCUGAAGUCAAGAGAUUGACUUUGACAGAUUAAAAUAGGCAUUCCCCAAGGCUCAAUAUUGGGCCCACUGAUUUUUAGCCUUAAAGGGGGAAUUUGUAGAAUUCCUUGAAAAGUUCCUGGUUCCUGGAAAAAAGUUGCUGCUUUGGAAAACUGUCGUAGGUUGGCGGUAUUUUGCAAAGACAGAUAGACACACUCCUCUCAUAUCUGUAGUGUGUCUUUGUAUUACUCUCUGGUUACACCGGCGUGUCUGUGAGGGACUGUCUGUGCACUGUCCAAUCAGCCAAGCUUCAUUAGCCUCUUUGUGAGCUUUUUGAAUCUGUUUACACCUGAAUUAGCAGCGCCAGUGAUCCGUGCACGAGUCGCCGCCUCCGCCAGGACUCCAUUCAUCCUUACCUGUCUGCUGUCACCUCACACCAUCGACCGCUAACCUGAUACAACAACACGACGAUGACAGGGACCGAUUAGCAACAACAGGAGGGAGACAGACAGACAGAGGAGGACUUUUAAUGGGCCCAACGACACAAAGAGAUGUACACUGAAUGAAAAUUGAUGGAAUUCAGUGAACAAUACUCAAAAUCCAUCCAGGCAGAGCAAGUUUUCAUCUUAAGAGCUGCUCUUCUCUCGUUAAACAACGCAGCAUCGAGAAAUGGAGGCUGCUUCCAUCGAUUAAUAUCCAGCGAACAGGCUCCUCUCAUCACCAAACACCCCGGCUCUUCUUCUUCUUCUCCUUCUUUGUCGACUUAUUUAUUCAUGCUGAUUUUAUUCCUGAUGAGAGAGCCGCCCGCAUGGCUGCGUUUUAAAUAAAUCCUGAUAUAUUCAUCUAUUACAAAAGGCUCACACAGUCAGGGAGUAAUUGCAGCACAGCGUUUAAUACUCUUUAAUUCAGUGUAAUCACAUUAUGCACUGUCGCUAUGUCUGGGUCUGUUUUAGAGGGCCUUUGGCUGUUUGCGCAAUACGGCUUUCUUUAUUUCUGUGUGAGGAAUUCAGCCGAGAAAAGGCUGAUCCAGAAAUCCGUCUUCACACAUGUGCAGACUGGGUUUCUAUCCUCGAUAUCGAAGACUGUCAGCUGCCAAAAGUGGAUGAAUGUGAGGUGUCUUUUCUGAUAACUCUGAUUUGAUCAAACCAGUCUGAAUCAUUAGCUCUGAAUCAUCAUGUCCUAUUAGAGUCACUAAUAUAGUCUCUUCUGGGAGUCUCUGAGCUCCAUCAUGCCGUAGGUUCCUCUGGAUCGCUGCUGCAGACAUUUUGCUGUCACCUCUGUCCAUCUCUCUCUUUCUCCAUCUCCCUCUCUUCCCUCUCUAAACCCAGAUCAGUCUCAGCAGAUGUCUGUCUAACAUGAGUCUGGUUCUGCUCAAGGUUUCUGCCUGUUAGAGGAAGUUCUUCCUCUGCUGCAAAGUGUUUCAGUCAUGUGGUUGAAGAUCGGAUUUGAGUGGGUCUGAUCUUACAAGAUGGGGCUCAAUCUGAUCCCAUCUGUACAUUAGGUCUUUGUAAAUAGAAUCUGGUCUAAGACAGUUUUUUAGGAUAACACUUGUUGUGAAUCGGUGUUGUAGUUCGAUGGAUUGAGAAGAUUUGCUGCUGUAGACUUAACCCUGAAAUGAUACUAUUCCCGGUGAUGUUUGGGAGAAAAACUCGUCUGUUUUCUGUUUUUUCUGGUUCCUGAUAACAAAAAAAAGCAUUUGGUUAACCAUUAACAGAGCAGAACAGAACUCAAAUUAAUCUUUGCUACAAUUUUUGACCCUUAAUUGCAUAAAAAAAUGAUUAAGACCAAAAAUAAGGUAAACCCGUACCCCUAAUAACUGCUGAUAGUGCCCGUCGACUUCUUCUACAUGCUUUAUUUUGUCAUUUCAUGUUAGAUAAUCAAACUCACAAGGCACCAGGCUCUAUAAAUCCACUUCUCUGUACAAACAGCAGGGACUGUGAGAGUCUAGAAGAGGUAAUGAAUAUCUCUGUGAGGUUUGUAGACUGUCAGCGAGACUCCCAAACCCACUUAAAUGGCUUCACGCUCUACAUCCCUCCCCAUCUCCUGUGCCCUCCAACCUCAGGAACAAAAAAAAGGAAAAAAAAAAAAAGGGUUGUGCAAAAGCUAGAAAAUGAAAGUCAAACUAAACCCUGCCCAGGAGGUUUCCCAUGAUACACCUGGGCGUUUCAGUGCGAGUCCAAAUGUACGUGUGUGUGGUUUUUUUUAGGGUAAUUGUAAGCAGUUGAAUGGGGACAGUAUGUCUAAUUGGGGACAAAAUUGGGGUCCCCAUUUGAAUUUUACUGCAGCUGCAUUCAGCCUCAUGUGAAAUGGUUUCUGUCUUAAUUGUCAAGUCAAGGUUAGAAAUUGGGGUUAAGUUCAGGUUAACUGUUCGGGGAGGAAAUUUAUGGCAGUGCUUUAAAAGUAUGUUAACGAAAGUGUGUGUGUGUGUGUGUGUGUGUGUCUGUUUGAGGGUUGUCUUAGGACAGAAGCAGAAAGAGGUAAAAGCUUUACAUUUCCCUUUGUCUUCCUUAAACCUGCUGAUGAUCACAUUUCCAAACCCUCCGACAAAACAAACAAAACAUCACAUUUAUCAUCAAAUUCUCAAUGUUUUAAACAAAUUACAUAACUGAAGAGCAUCUGAGUUCUGUUAAAGAGACACUAAAACUCACUGAGACUAAAGGGCAAAACAAAUGCAACUGUGGAAACAUACAAGUGAAAAAAAGCCAAAACAACAGCAUGAACAGCAAACAUACUGCAAGGACGUAAACAAUGCCAAGCAAAAAAGCAGAAAGCUGCAAAGAAAAAGGAGAAAAUAUGUAAAACGGAUUCAUCAAGGUGCUCCAGGCCUGUAGAGGGCGCUGAGUGACAGAAAUUGAAUUUAUUAUUUACUCUGAUGGUCUCAUUUAUUCUUCUAGGUCACACAGAAGUUCUAGAAUAAGAUUUUAAUAACAGGAGAUCUAUUAAAUUCAUUUUCACCUCUCAGUCAGUACGUUGACAUACACAGCUUAAUCGGACUAAGCUCAUAAUUCCUUUUUUCACCGAAUCGGACUUCUCUCAUUGUCCGUGUAUACGUGCAGCUGAGGAAAUUGAGUUAUUGACGUGAACGUGUCCUCCUCUCCAAAACUAGGCGGCGGUAUGAGUCUGUUUCCAACCCCAUACAAGCGUCAACAACAGCAGGUCCAUGCCAGACGUCAGAAGUGUCUACAACUGCUGUUCGGCAUUUUACAAGCAAGAAGAUGGAGCGUCGUACAGCGUUUUUGUCACACAUGGUGUAUGCACUACGUUUUCUGCACGAGAUUCACGCUACUCCUCUUCUCUAGUGUUUUUGUUCUGGGGUUACAGGGGCGUGGCGCACACGCACAUUCAUUGUCUGAUCAUACUCCUACUACGCUGGUUACAUGGUAGAGAAAAUCGAGUUCCAAUCGCAUUAUCUGGGUCUUAAUUGGAGUUCUCUGUCUCCAACCAAAGUUCUCGAACUCUGAUUAUGGUCAGACUAAGGUGUUUACAUGCACUUCAGUUGUCUGGUCUUCAUUGGAAUAAUGCAAUAAUCUAGUUUUCUCAAAUGUCAUGUAAACGUACUGACUGUGUCAGUCUGGGUCACCAGAAACUCCUUAUUAUUUAUCUUAUAUUGACAUCUUUGAGACCCCCUAUGUCAGCACUUUUUAGCCUCAGCUUGAAACACUGAAUUUUUAGCUGCUUUUUUCUACUGAUACAAAGUUAGACACAGCUCAUGGGUGUUACUUUUUACACAGUUCUUUGACCCACAAGUUAUGGCUUUUCGGGAACUGUUAAAAUAAAGCUGUUAAUGCACAGUUAGCUCCCUCUUUAGCUGCUGUUAUAAUGUUAUUUACAGCUUGUGGUCCCUGGUCCUUGUAAAAUAUCUUCAAGCUGGUACAGCCCCAAGUUUCAGUAACGUCUUUGCAGUAACUCGAUGAUAAAUUUCAUAAAUCCCUCUAAAUCCAGCUCCUCAAAGUCAAACUACUGUAGAAAAUGUAGAUCUGUUUUGAUUUACUCCAUCAUUUAUACAAGUAAUAUGCUUUUUUGCCGUCUAUUCUUCUUUUCAGUUCAUUUGUUAUGCACCAAGACACCAAAACAAAUCUGUGUUACCAUAAAUCUACUCGGCAACAACCUGUUUCAGAUUUUUCUAUAUCAAAAAUGAUCCGUUGUUAAGUCCAAACAUCAUGUUUUCUGCGCCCCACGUUCAUUCAAUCCUCUGAAAUCUCAUCACACCAUCUGAACUAAUUCUGAUCAUCGUCCUUUGGUCUCUUUUUAACACGCCUUAAUGUCUACAUGCCUUUUAAUUUACUCUCUGACAGGGCCACGAAGUCAACCGUUCAGACAGAUUCGACUCAUCUACUCACUACAAAGAGAGAUAAACAUUUCUGCAUAAUUGCCUCUAAAAAUAAUCAACCUUUUGAAGCCGCUCGACCUCGACGCCUCCCGCUGUCUCCGCUCUGACUGACUGACAUGAAAUACCUUUUUUUUUUUUUUCAUGAAAGAGAUCCGCUCUCAGGUGUGUUUGGCCCCUGAAGAGCCACGUGUCAAACCAAUCAGAAAGGCUUGACAGUAUCUCUCGAAUCGUUGUCCUUCAAGUCGCCUUUCAUCCGUCUUCCCGCGGUGUAUUGUCUCUGAACGCAAUAUCACAGAGGAAGAAAAAGGCAAUUAAUUUCUCACCUGCAGGAGAUCUAGAUCACGUUUUUCUAUGGACUCAAAAGAAAACCAUAACUUGAAGAUACAACCCACUCUGAACAUGAAGAGUGUGAUCUCUUUACUCUCUAAUGUUCCUCCUCUGGGCAGACCCAGACUAAUAGUGCUCAGACUCCUCUCUUCUGUCCACAAAUGUACAGCGCUCUAUUACAGCUCUUUCUUUUUUCCUCCUUCAGGGCUCCGGUGAACAGAGCAGUAAUGGGAACAUCAGUCGUCCAUCCUCCUCCUCCUCCUCCUCCUCCUCUACUGUUCUUUAUCUUUCUCUCUCGCUUCGCUGGGAGGAAGAGGAAAAAAAACAGAGGUUAAAGAGCUGAAUGGACAUACUAAAUCAAACUAGUUUGAACACACAAAAAGAGCUCACAGUGGUCACGUUUGGUAUUUUAAGUCCCACUCCGAUCGUUUUUUUACUACUUAAAGUGUCCUCAGUGGUCUUUAAACUGUGAUUAUGAAGUUUUUUAGCCAAAAUCGUGUUACCUGUGUCAUUUUUAAGAGCUUUUCUUCUGCAGAGCUCCAGGAGCUCAUUAGCGGUUCACCUCUGAGUCGUGGGUGGAGACAGGGCUGCUCUGUGCACUUCUCUUCACGCUAGCUUGCAGACUAACGUUGCUGGUGUAGUCGAAGUAGCAGGUAACAAAGGAGCUAUUCGGCUCUCGAACACUAAUGUCUUUAGGGACAUGAUGAAAGCUAACAUCAUUAUUAGCUUUCUUACAAGCAUUGCAAUCCGCUAACGCACACACUUGUUCCGCGGUCCUCCUUUCUAUUUCUCAGAGUGUGGUCUGCAUAGCUGGGCUCUGGGGGCGGAGCUUAGAUUUGUGAUGUAGGUAAUCUCACUGUUUCUUAACCUGCUAUUUGGGUCUGCCAGAGGUUCACCGUGAUUUGAAUGAAAAAAUACUCAGAAAUGAAAUUUCGCACUCAUUUUUCUCAUGAUACACCCUGUGGCAUCAGAAAAAUGAACAUAUGAACAUGUAGACAACAAAAAGAACAUGAUUUUCAUCGGAGUGUUUGUUUAAUGCUGUCAAUUGUUAAAUACUUGACAUGCUAGCAUACAUAAACCUUAUGUAUGUAAAAUAACUGAACACUAACCCACAUUUGCAUCAAUAUGAUAUUUUUAUUUUGCAUUAAUUAGGUUAUAUAACAUUUUUAAAAAAAACAUGUUUUUUAAACUCCUUGCAGUUUACUCUCGUUUCGCAUUUUGAGUCAAGCUGUGAGCGUCUUCACCGUCUGCAAAACAAAACCAGGUCCACUCAUCCUCAUGGAGCUAAAAACCUGUCCACAUGUGGAUGAUGAGCUCAAAGAGGAGAGGAUGAUUCCUGAUAAACUCUAGGUCACAAUCUACAACAAACACAAAUAACUUCUCUAUACUUGAGUGCAUGUUAAUUUACAUAUGUGCUCCAUUCUAGGGCUGGAUAAUAUGGCCUCAAAUCAAUAUCACGAUAUAUUGAUCAGUUCACCUUAAUAACAAUAAAUGGAUGAUAACUACUCCACAAGCUGCUCACCCCCUCCCACAUUAACUUUGUCUUCUUCAGCCGCUACAACUUUUGUUACAGACUGGAUGGGGUGGAGUCACGUCUCUGACGUAGGACAGCGUCUUAAAGAGACGUGAGACCAUAGCCUACCUACACACAUCCAAAACCAACUUUGAUUCAUUUAUUUUUUGACAUGGAAUAUACCGCCAUGGAAAAAAAUGACAUCUGUUAUUGUCGUAAAUUUCAUUCUUGUUAAAUUUUUCUUUUAUCGCCCAGCCCUACUCCAUCCACAUAAGCAAACAGCACAGACACAGAGAGCCGUUAACUAGUAGUGCAUUUAACUCACUGAUUGCUCUCCAAAUUAAAUGCUAUCCUUCUAAUUUACACUAAUCUAGUAAGUGCAAAAUCCAUUUAUCUCUUGUAUGAAUCCGCGGUUUCCUCAGAGGACCUGCAGGAUCUGUUAAAAGUACGCACAGAGAAAGAAUUAUACAACACCUGCUACAGUUUCCACCAUGACCAAUAUUUAAAGACCUCAAAUAUCCUCAAGUUAUGAUUCCUAAUGAUUCGUUUGUGUGAGGACUUAUCAUUAAUUCAGCGCGGUUAUUAAACUGGGAAUUGCACCUGCAGAAAUGCCCGGUGUGGUAACAGAUGCAGUGACAGCCAGAGUUUGCCAGAGUCUGGCGGGGCAGGUGGUGAUGAUUUGGUGCCUCUUUUGUCAGCACCAUCUUGGGAUUUGUUCGCGACUGCAUAUCUGUUUGUGACUGACAGUAACUUCACUUUUCUUUAUGAGUUCAUUGGGAAAAAGUUGCUGAAAGUUUGUGUCUGUCAGACUGUUUAAAGCGAAUUUAACAAAUCUAAAACUAGUCCAAGAGUUUCCUGUUAUCAGAGAGCUUGCCCCCUCACCUUGAAUGUUUAGUCUCUCAGCAGAAAGAAAGUCAGAGCCACCAACCUUUCAGAAUCUCACCUGAGAGAGUCUCGAGUUGGGAUCAGAUAAAGGCUCAAGGGUCUGCACUGAAAGCAGGAACACAGAGACGGGUGUUGUCUCAAGCUCCACGGAGGGUCAAACACAUUUGUAACCGGCGAGUGAGCUGCCACAGAGCAGAUCUACAGGGACAGGAUUUAAGCAGGAUCUCAGGCCGACAGGUCGUUGUGAGAGUUAACGAGAUAAAGAAACUGAAGACCUGAAGAGGUGAAGACUGAGAGGGAUGAUGGGUUAUAUUUUACAGGAACCUAACAAGCACCAGGCAGCAGACACAUUAACAACAAGAGGGCAAGAUAGAGCACAGUCCUGAGGGGAUGAUUGAGUAUUUUAGAAAAGCAGCAGUUCAGGCCUAGUGGUCUAAGAGUCUCUCUGUUCUCUCUCUCCCUGUUUUCUGCUCUAUCCUCUCCAAUGAAGGCGCAAAAAGUCUGAGAAUGAAAUUAAGAAGUAAUGCAGCAAUUUGUCAAUAAGUUUGCCAUUUUAGUUUAUAAAUACCCUGUAUGCACUGUUGAUGAAGUUAGGUGCUGUUCUGAGCAUUAUUUGUGGCUAUAGAGUGGCCUUUUGGUUGAGGUUUGUUUAUGGCUCCUCAGACUACUGUGUAUUGCUAUCCUGCGGUCGUCACUAAAGUUGGUAAAACUAGAGAAGCAAGCGGUCGGCAACAUUCAUCUCUGGACGGGGUGUCUUAUCCAGUGUUACAGUGUGUUUGACCCUAAAUAAAUUUUACGCUGGAAUAUCCGUUUAGCGAUGUUUUCCAAAAAAAUUGUCAGUGAAAAAAUGACCCAACCUCACUUUAAAAGAUAUACAGUAUUUUGAUUAUCGUUUGCUUUACUAUUGCAGACAGGACUGAAAAAUCGUGACUACUUCUUUUUUUUUUACAAGCCUGCAUCAUUUCAUCAUUUCUGCAAAGUUUUUAUCCUUUAUAUACAAUGAAGUCAUGAGAAAAUCUUGUUUAUUGGUUUUACACACAUUGGUUUUAGUCAUUAAAUUUGCCUUUUCAUUUUCAUGUGUAUCAUGCAGAAAAUUGCAAACUGAAGCGACCCCGGAUGACAUCCCUGUGGAACACCAAAGACGUUAGCACCAACAUCCCAGAGGCUAAAAUCUGGUUUACUACACUACACAGGUAAUAAAGUGGAUAAAAAAUGGCAGUGUUUAGCACAUCUUGAUAGAAUUAAGAUUUUAAUUACUUUAGAUCUGAACACACGUCAGUGAUCCAGAUUUCAGACAGAAGGGAGUCAAACAUUUGGCUCGAACACAGUUUGGACUGCUGGUUUUCUCCUCAAACUGUUCAGGUUAUAUUGAGGAACCAAAGUGUUUCUGUUGCCUCUUUAGUGUUUCCACACAAACAGAGAAAAAACAACACCAUCCCCACCAUCAACCAGACACAACAGAAGCGUGCAAGUGUGUUACCAUCUGUCCGGCUUUAAUCGUUGGCAGAUUCGCUUUUUUCCAGACAACUCUCGGCCAAAACGUCCUGUGCUGCAGCCAUGCCUGCUCGCACAGAGGGACGUGAAAAUUAUGUUUCAGCACAUGUGCGCAAACUUGAAUCUGUGUGUAGAUGUGCCAGUGAAGCUGAGAGGUGACAGAAACAUGUCCUUUAACAUGUUGUACUCCCUAAACCAGCCGGGUCAAAGGAGGAUAUCUUUCUGUGGUACCUGCAGGGUAACAGUGUUUGCACAGGAUCUCCUCUCAGGUGUCACUUUACACUCGUGUAGGAAUGUGAAGAUGACAAACAAGCAACAAGCAUGACACUUUUUCAAUUUUCAGUGUAAGCACAGGUGUGAGCCCCUCAAGGUGUUCCCGUUGAGAGUGUGAAAAAGACGGCGUCGCUGAAGGAGACUCCACGGGACUGUUGACAUGCGAGGGUUUUAGCCUCUCGGGACGAUGGUUAAGCUCAGCAAAUGUCAUGAAAAAAAAAAGAAUAUUGGAUUAAAUGUCAUUAGUGAAAAUAAGACACCCCUAAGGUGAUACAAGAGGAAAUAAUGGACUUGUCUAAAACUGCAAUUGACCGUUCAAGGAAAAUCCAGACAAGAGAUUCUGUAGAUUUUCGCUCUAUUUACUCAGAAAGAGACACAAAUAUCAUGUAAUUAUUUCAUAUUUAAUUAAAAACAUUGUAUCUAAUUUUAUUAUGUCACUUGAUGUCUAAUUAUUUCGUAUCAUAUCAUUAAGUAUCGGAUCAUUUAGUACUGUAUCGUAUCAUAAAGUUUUGUAUUGUUAAGUAUCAUAUCGUUGGGUUCCGUAUCUUAUCGUAUUGUGAAGUACCGUAUUGUCAAUUACCGUAUCGUGUCAAGUUGUUAAGUACCGUACCAUAUCGUAUCAUAUUGUAUCGUUAAGUACCGUAUCCUACCGCAUUGUUUAGUACAGUAUCGUAUCAUUAAGUACCGUAUCGUAUUGUACGGUAUCGUAUUAUAUUGUCAAGUACCAUAUUGUAUCAUUAAGUACCUAGCGUAUCGUAUUGUUAAGUACUGUAUCGUAUCACAUUCUCAAGUACCGUAUCAUAUCAUAUUUUUAAGUACAGUUUCGUAUCGAAUUGUUAAGUACCAUAUUAUAUGGCAUUGUUAAAUACCGUAUUGUAUCAUCAAGUACUGUAUCAUAUCAUAAAGUACCGUUUCGUAAUGUAUCAUACCAUUAAGUAAUGUAUCGUAUGGCAUCAUUAAGUACCAUAUUGUAUCAUAUCGUUCAGUACGGUAUAGCAAUAUAUGUUUCUUUUUUAACAAUACAACAAUUGAACCGGAGUUGUACCGUACGGUAUGGUAUUGUUACGUACCGUGUUGUAUCGUUAAGUACGGCAUCAUAUUGUUAGGUACCAUAUCGUAUCGUUAAGUACCGUUUUGUAUGGUAUUGUAUUGUUAAGUACCGUACUGUUUCAUAUUGUGAAGUACUGUAUAGCAGUAUACUGUAUGUUUCUUUUUUAACAAAACAACAUUUGGACCAAAGUCGUAUACAUAUACUUGAUGUGUUUAAUUGUUGUUUUUGAAGUCGGUCUGACUCUUCUGAUCCAAUGAUUUAGAAAGAACUCCAAUUAUAACUAAAUCUUCUUAAUUUCAACAGAUCGUGUCAUUAUUUUUUCAAACCGCUAACUGUAGAACCUCCAGUAUUUUUUUCCAGGACUUACGCCAGGUCAUACUGCAGAUUAUAUUUACAUUAUGUGAGACACUGUCUGACACUUAACUGUCAGACAGAUGGAAACCUAUAAGGGGGUCUUCAAGAAACGGCGUCCCCCCUCAAGCUGUCCUUAUACAUGACCUCCAACCUGGAGUGCACCACAGGGCCGAUGACUGAUUGAAGCAGAUGGGAGAGCUUUAAAUGACCAUACUGGUGAUUUAGCACGUUCCAGUCCAAUGACCACAAAUGACAUGCUAAGCUAGGCUGCUACAUAAUCAAGUCGUUAUUUAUGUUUACGCCUCUGCUCUGUCCUCUGGUGAGACUGUCUGACUUUGUCCCUGGUCUUAAGUUGUCCACUUACAGUACAAGGCAGGAAGAGGCUCGUGAGUGUGACCCAAAUGUGAUGAGGUCAAAAUGAAUGCCCAUCGCACACUGACCCUCCAGAGAACAGACAGGGAGGAAGUAAAUCUCUCGCCAUCGCCCGUUUGUCUUCUUGUGUGUACAUGCCAAGACAACUGAUAUCAGCUUCAAGAUCAGGCUCCGUAGCUGCCACUGGGAUGAAGUACAGGUGAAGCACCUUCACACCAACACAUAAAACACAGUGACACCCUCGCAGGUGAGGUGAGAAUUAUUAUAUGACAGGUCAGAGCGGAGCAGGAGCUAUGCACACAAAACAGAGAUUAAAAAAUAGACAUAUAUAACCUUCGCUUUGUCAGGGCUGUGCUGCUCAUCCAAGAGGACGAAACUGAAUCAAUAACUCACAGUACAUACCCGUCAAACAUAAGAUUAUGACCACUGAAACGUGGCAUGAGUGCCAUUGAUUAUCUUUUUGAAAUGCCUGUCAAUGCGUGAGAUAUGUUGCACACAAGAAGCAGGAAACGUGCUAGCUAACGGUGGGCCACACCCAGACCAGAUCUGAUCAGACCUGCAACUUUUGACCGGUUCCUUCUCUGCAACAGUAUCAGAAAUAAUUCAGUGAAGGUGAACAGGUAACCCUGCAACAGGUUACUCGUUUAUUUCAAAAUGGACAAAAAGCAAAAUGAUGAAGAAUUUAUUAAAACGAAAAACAGAAGUGGUCCUAGACUACUCCCCUGUGGAACUCCAACUUUCCUAUAAAGCCGUGUUUCUUAUAAGAAGAUCCAAAAAACAAAACAAAAUUCAUGCAUGGUUAGCAAAGGCUGACCUGUGUGAUCCAAUCAAACAGAAGAGCUGGAAUAAGACGGAAAUCUACAAAAUCGUGCCAAAAAAGCUGCAAAAUUUGAGCGGGGUCUGGCUGCAGACCUCUACUGAGAGGAGCCAAGGUGACGUAUUUUUUCACGCGCUCCAGUUAGUUUGAGGUGGUCGUCCUGUUUUGUAUUUUCUCUUUGUUGAACACAUGAAUAAACCAAAAAAUGAUAUACAAAUUAAUAUUAUAUACAUAAAAUAAAGCCCCAAGACAUGAAAUGUAUUCACACAAGACAAAAAUAUGUACUUCCCAGUCUAAUCACUUUUAAUUUGAAAGGCUUCAAAUCAACUUCGGAUGUAAAAAAAAAAAAAAAAGCAGUCUUGGUAUAUUUGCUUUUAUUUUGAAAGGCUAUAAAUCAACUUCUGGCCCUUACAGUGGAGUUCUGCAGCCACUGUCUUGCAAAAUUUGGCCCACUGACAGACAGUUUGUUCACCUGUGUGUAGGGACAUCUGGUUCUGAUCAUAGUUACACAGUUUCUUAAUAUCAGGGUUGUAAGACUAGUUUUAAAAUUCAUUAUACUUCAUGGUGUCUGGCGUUUAUUUAAGUAGUUGAUCAAGAGACAGACAAUCCUCCAAAUGCGUAUUCCCCUCAUGGUCUGAUAGUUAAACAUGUCUCAAACACAAGAUUGUCACGUUGAUAGAAACACAGAGCAAUAACAACAAGUAAAAAUAACAAUUAAAACUUGCAUGAAUUAUUUUGUUUAUGUUUUAAUUUUGCAUGUGUGUGUCUCUCAGAAGCUGCAGACCCCCAGACUCGGUGACAGAUCUGUUCCCAUCCUCUCCUGUGAGCAGACAUGUAAGUAUUAGAGAAACUCAAAUAUUUUAUUAAAAUCUUUGAGCACCGGCCAAGAUCUGACUGACAAUCUCUGACUUUACACUCCAGACUCAUUAUUAUCCACAUGGGUGAUCUUGUUCAGUCCUCUUCCUGCUCUGCUGCAUGAAUUCAGAUUACAGGACUGUUCAGUGUGACCUUACUGUCAAACAGAUGGGAACCCGAGGAAGGGGGUCUUCCAGAAACAGCACCCCCUGUCCUCUCCCACCUGUCCUCGUACACGACCUCCAACCUAGAGCUCGCCGCGGGGACUGAUGACUGACAUGAGAUCACUGAAAGGAUUGUGCAGCAGGAGGAGAAAGGUGUGGAAGUUAUCCUUUCUCAUAAAUUAAAAUGAUUUUGAAUUCGGAGGUUUCUCUUUUUUCUAUCACAGCUGUAUAACAAACAGCUUCAGAGGUCGGCUUUCACUGGGAGUUGUUAUUUCUGUUUUUCAUGUGUUUCAUACGUGGUAAUCCAUUUGUGUCUGAGGGCUGUUUUGACAGCUCCUGAAUAUUGUUGCGCUCACCAAAGCCCUACCACUUCAUAUUUAAAGCUGCUUUGUUAGAGUUUUGGCUGCGAGGGUUGAGACAAAAAAUUCUGAAGCAAGUUGACUGAUAAACAGAAAACAAGCCUCACGGUUUGAACUGAUCAGCAAACUUGAAGAAAUUAUUCAUUUUUACAUCCAGGAGACAUGAAGCAGUGUUAGCAUUACCCGGUAAUACCACUGGAUCUGGAAUGGUUCCAAUCCGCCGCCACCAUCAGAGAAGCUCUCGCAAUAUUACCGACAGUUCCAUGCGAGACUGGACAAGAUCUCACGUGUUUCCCGUGAGACAUUGAAUGAGAUCAACCGGUCGGUGUAUGUAAACGGUGGUGUAUUUAACCUCCUUAGACCUGGCGUCCACAUGUGUGGACAUCACAUUUUUGAUUGUCAAGACCACAAUAUUAAAUUUUGUUCACAAGGGCCUUCUCUCAAAAUUUAAAACGAAUGUCCUCAUAUGUGGACAUCAUUUUUCUCAGAAACUACAUCAUGUAAAAAGAUCAUUCUUUGUUUUUACACUCAUCAGGUCCCAAUUUGCCUAAAUAUCAAAGAGAAAAUAAAAAUGCAUGCCUUGCAAGAAUUCGGGUCUUAGGAGGUUAAACAGCCAUAUCCCACAACCCUGGCCUCUCCAGUUACCAAGUUAAGAACAGUUAAACAUAUUGACUUUCUUUUAUUUUGAAAAUUAACUGGAUAUUUUACUCUGUAGCCGCAUACACUUCCGCUGCUGCUCGUGCUGCGCUGCACUGAGUUGAUGCGCUGUCCUGCGGCGUCCGGCAAAAAUAGGUGUCAGAAUAUGUCUGGCUCACGGAUUCUGUGGAAUGACACACACAGCCGUUCUGUAUCCUGUGGGUUUUGCCUGUUAGGGUAGGGUAGGUUAGUAUUUCUGCACACUUAAAACAUCCAACACUCUCGGUUUGUUUUGGUUUGGUUUGAAUUUCAAGAAAAAAAAAGUACCUCUUGUUGACGCUCACUAUUAAAAUUCAAUUGUUUCUUCAUAUGCUGACGAUACACUGAUGUACCUAUAUGUCUAACCACCAAAUAACAAAAAAAUGUUGAACAGAAAUAAUUUUUAUUUUCUCUUCUUCUCUGAUAAAGACUAAAUUCAAACAAGGAUGGACAUCACAGAACAGAUUGUUUCAUCAUUUACUGGACGAUCGCAACAAAUCGGAGGAAAACCACGCUAAGCUGUAAGUACUGUACACUCAUCUCUUACAACAAGUCUGCUAAGUUUAGAUUUUUUCUUUUACCAUGACAGAUUCUGUGGUGUCAGGUAUGUCAAGAGUGUUUUGUUUACCUCGACAUGUUUCAACUACAAAUUUCCUGCAGUCUUCCUGAAUAGAAGUCUAAGGACAGCAUCCCGGGUACAUAACAACAUGUAGGCCCCUCUAUCCCAGCUCUCCAUCCUCUAGGCUCACUUUCUGAUCCCUUACUCAACCCUUAUUGGUAUCUGUUGUUCUCUGAGUGGAUGACCUUGGCCUUUUCAAAGUCCAUGGUGAGAUUUCCUUUCGUGCAACAGUCUGAGGUGACUGACUUGAAGGAUGCUGUCCUAAGACUGUCGGACAAUUGGGGGCAUGCUCGUCCCAUCGCUUCAGGUAGGAUGACCAAACCUCUACAAAUCAGUUGACGUGCAGUGUCACGACAACAUCACGAAGCUCUUCUGAGGGAGACUCCAGGAAGUUUGCAGUCGAGAAAUGUCAAGGUUGAAAGGAAAACACGCUGGUCUAGUUAGGAGGAAAGUUUAAAAGUGAUAAAAUGGUUCAUAUCUAGAAGUGAGAGGGAUAAAAAAGAAAGACUUCCCCAAGUGUAUUUGGGGAGGGGACUCAUGCAUAACAGACAGCGUGCACCUGUUGUUAUAUGGGUCAUCCAAAAUAGUAAUGACUGACCUCUGUUCACACAGAUGAGUCCAAUUCACCCUACAAGUGAGCCAGAAAUAAGCCUCUGCUCUGUUAGCCUCACAUCCGCCAGACUAUCAACGCCGUGGGACAAACACAGAAGGUCAGAGAGGGACGGCAGGAGAUGAUCAAAGUGACAGAGGUAAGAAGAGAGAGAUAACAGGGCGGGCAGUCAUGCAGAGGGUGUGUUUUUUCCACCAUGGUUAACCAUUAACACGUGCUAACUGAUGCUUUACACACCUUUUGUUUGUUCUUUCCGGGCGAUGAUAGAAACAGGAAACUGUGUUUCGGUGGACAACAGGAGGAAAUGCAAUCAAUAGUUUCUCUAAGUUGAAAAUAUGAGUUUAAAAACUAUUUUUGGGCAAAUGUUCAACAAUUAAAACAUCUUUUGGGCAUUUUUCUCUUGAUCUUCUU